GACGAACGCUGGCGGCGUGCCUAAUACAUGCAAGUCGAGCGGACAGAAGGGAGCUUGCUCCCGGAAGUUAGCGGCGGACGGGUGAGUAACACGUAGGUAACCUGCCCCUUAGACUGGGAUAACUCCGGGAAGCCGGAGCUAAUACGGGAUAAUAAAGAGAAUCGCCUGAUUUUCUUUUGAAAGACGGUUUCGGCUGUCACUAAGGGAUGGACCUGCGGCGCAUUAGCUAGUUGGUAAGGUAACGGCUUACCAAGGCGACGAUGCGUAGCCGACCUGGGAGGGUGAUCGGCCACACUGGGACUGAGACACGGCCCAGACUCCUACGGGAGGCAGCAGUAGGGAAUCUUCCGCAAUGGACGAAAGUCUGACGGAGCAACGCCGCGUGAGUGAGGAAGGCCUUCGGGUCGUAAAGCUCUGUUGUGAGGGAAGAACAAGUGCCGGGGUAACUACCGGCACCUUGACGGUACCUCACCAGAAAGCCACGGCUAACUACGUGCCAGCCGCCGCGGUAACAC
rnacentral:rRNA from 1 species